rnacentral:rRNA from 1 species
GAUGAACGCUAGCGGCAGGCCUAAUACAUGCAAGUCGAUCGAUACUUUCCAGCUUGCUGGGAAGGAAAGUGGCGCACGGGUGCGUAACGCGUAUGCAACCUACCUUAAUCAGGGGGAUAGCCCGAAGAAAUUCGGAUUAACACCGCAUAAAAACACAGUACAGCAUUGUACAAUGUUCAAAUAUUUAUAGGAUUAAGAUG